AGCAGCCGCGGUAAUUCCAGCUCCAAUAGCGUAUAUUAAAGUUGUUGCAGUUAAAAAGCUCGUAGUUGAAUUUCGGGAUUGACACAUCGGUCGUGCCUUAAGGGGUAUGAACUGGUGUAGUCAGUUUCUCACCUUCUGGAGAACCGCGAUGUCCUUAAUUGGGUGCCGCGGGGAACCAGGACCUUUACUUUGAAAAAAUUAGAGUGUUUAAAGCAGGCAUUUUGCUUGAAUACAUUAGCAUGGAAUAAUAAAAUAGGACGGAUGGUUCUAUUUUGUUGGUUUCUAGGAUCACCGUAAUGAUUAAUAGGGAUAGUUGGGGGCAUUAGUAUUCAAUUGUCAGAGGUGAAAUUCUUGGAUUUAUUGAAGACUAACUACUGCGAAAGCAUUUGCCAAGGAUGUUUUCAUUAAUCAAGAACGAAAGUUAGGGGAUCGAAGACGAUCAGAUACCGUCGUAGUCUUAACCAUAAACUAUGCCGACUAGGAAUCAGACGAUGUUAAUUUUUUAAUGACUCGUUUGGCACCUUACGG
rnacentral:rRNA from 1 species